rnacentral:tRNA from 1 species
GGGUAGGUAGCUCAGUGGAUAGAGCGACAGUCUCCGGAACUGUAGGUCGGGGGUUCAAGUCCCCCUCUACCCA